ACAGCAGUAGCCGCGGGAAUACGAGGGGGGCGAGCGUUGUUCGGAAUUAUUGGGCGUAAAGGGUGCGUAGGCGGUUUGACAAGUCUUAUGUGAAAUCUCUGGGCUCAACCCAGAGUCUGCAUGGGAAACUGUCGGGCUUGAGUAUGGGAGAGGUGAGUGGAAUUUCCGGUGUAGCGGUGAAAUGCGUAGAGAUCGGGAGGAACAUCAGUGGCGAAGGCGGCCAUCUGGGACAACACUGACGCUGAGGCACGAAAGCGUGGGGAGCAAACAGGAUUAGAUACCCGCGUAGUCCCUGUCUCUUAUAC
rnacentral:rRNA from 1 species